rnacentral:lncRNA from 1 species
GGUGUGUACUGUUGAGUUCUCCCACAUCGGAGGGAUUUGAGAUCCUUGGUCUCCUUAUAUGGUUUGGGCAAUCCUCACCUCAUAAGCUAGCUUUUGGGGUCGAGUUAGGCCCAAGGUCUAUUCUUUUCAUGGUAUCAGAGCUACAGUGAGAAUAUUAUAGCUGUGCGUCAUUCCAUCUACUUCCGGGAAGAAAGACCUCGUCGCCGUGCAAUUUUUCGGCGUCUUAAGAGGCUGUCCGUAACUAAACUACCUUUUUUGUUGGUGUUGUGCAAAAUCCGAGACCACCUACUUCCGGGAAGAAAGAACUCGUCGCCGUGCAAUUUUCCGGCGACUUAAGAGGCUGUCCAUAACUAACUGGUGUUGUGCAAAAUCCGAGACCACCACGAGGUUCG